GGCCUCCUGUAGUUUACCAUGGCCUGUGUCCUCACACCAACCGUGUGGACAGAGGAGGGGCAGUAAACCUACCCCACAUACACCCUAGCCCAGGGCCUGUGCCUGGUUUAUAUUGUGAAGGGGGGAAGAUGC
ensembl:snoRNA